GAUGAACGCUGGCGGCGUGCUUAACACAUGCAAGUCGAACGGUGAAGGCGGAGCUUGCUCUGCUGGAUCAGUGGCGAACGGGUGAGUAACACGUGAGCAAUCUGCCCCUGACUCUGGGAUAAGCGCUGGAAACGGCGUCUAAUACUGGAUACGAGCUGCGAAGGCAUCUUCAGCAGCUGGAAAGAACUUCGGUCAGGGAUGAGCUCGCGGCCUAUCAGCUUGUUGGUGAGGUAACGGCUCACCAAGGCUUCGACGGGUAGCCGGCCUGAGAGGGUGACCGGCCACACUGGGACUGAGAUACGGCCCAGACUCCUACGGGAGGCAGCAGUGGGGAAUAUUGCACAAUGGGCGGAAGCCUGAUGCAGCAACGCCGCGUGAGGGACGACGGCCUUCGGGUUGUAAACCUCUUUUAGCAGGGAAGAAGCGAAAGUGACGGUAACUGCAGAAAAAGCGCCGGCUAACUACGUG
rnacentral:rRNA from 1 species